UACGUAGGGGGCGAGCGUUGUCCGGAAUUAUUGGGCGUAAAGAGCGUGUAGGCGGCCAGAAAAGUCCGCUGUGAAAACUCGAGGCUCAACUUCGAGCUGUCGGUGGAAACUUUCUGGCUAGAGUCCGGAAGAGGAGAAUGGAAUUCCUGGUGUAGCGGUGAAAUGCGCAGAUAUCAGGAGGAACACCGGUGGCGAAGGCGGGUCUCUGGGCCGAUACUGACGCUGGAGGAGCGAAAGCGUGGGGAGCGAACAGG
rnacentral:rRNA from 1 species